ACGGCCAUACCAUGCUGAAUAUACCGGCUCACCUUAGAUCACCGAAGUCAAGCAUCAUUGGGCGCGGUCAGUACUUGGG
rnacentral:rRNA from 1 species